rnacentral:rRNA from 1 species
GAUGAACGCUGGCGGCGUGCCUAAUACAUGCAAGUCGAGCGAACGGACGAGAAGCUUGCUUUUCUGAUGUUAGCGGCGGACGGGUGAGUAACACGUGGAUAACCUACCUAUAAGACUGGGAUAACUUCGGGAAACCGGAGCUAAUACCGGAUAAUAUUUUGAACCGCAUGGCUCAAAAGUGAAAGACGGUCGUGCUGUCACUUAUAGAUGGAUCCGCGCUGCAUUAGCUAGUUGGUAAGGUAACGGCCUAUCAAGGCAACGAUGCAUAGCCGACCUGAGAGAGUGGUCGGCCACACUGGAACUGAGACACGGUCCAGACGCCUACGGGAGGCAGCAGUAGGGAAUCUUACGCAAUGGGCGAAAGCCUGACGGAGCAACGCCGCGUGAGUGAUGAAGGUCUUCGGAUCGUAAAACUCUGUUAUUAGGGAAGAACAUAUGUGUAAGUAACUGUGCACAUAGUGACGGUACCUAAUCAGAAAGCCACGGCUAACUACGUG